UCCGUAAGGGUGACCUGCGGAAGGAUCAUUACUGAAUUGUCAAACGGGUUGUUGCUGGCCCUCAUAGGGGGCAUGUGCACGCUCUGUUUACACAUCCACUCACACCUGUGCACCCUCUGUAGUUCUAUGGUCUGGGGGACCCUGUCUUCCUUCUGUGGUUCUACGUCUUUACACACACACUGUAACAAAGUUUUAUGGAAUGUACAUCGCGUCUAACGCAAUACAAUACAACUUUCAGCAACGGAUCUCUUGGCUCUCGCAUCGAUGAAGAACGCAGCGAAAUGCGAUAAGUAAUGUGAAUUGCAGAAUUCAGUGAAUCAUCGAAUCUUUGAACGCACCUUGCGCCCCUUGGCUAUUCCGAGGGGCAUGCCUGUUUGAGUAUCAUGAACACCUCAACUCUCAUGGUUUGCCAUGAUGAGUUGGACUCUGGGGGUUUUGCUGGCCUGUGGUCGGCUCCUCUCAAAUUAAUCAGCCUCCCAGUGUUUGGUGGCAUCACGGGUGUGAUAAAUAUCUACGCUCGCUGUUGUCUGCCAGGUAACCUUUGGUCACAAAGGUUUGCUGGAGCUCACAGAUGUCUCUCCUCAGCGAGGACAGCUUUUUUAACGUUCGAUCUCAAAUCAGGUAGGACUACCCGCUGAACUUAAGCAUAUCAUAAGGCCGGAAGGA
rnacentral:rRNA from 1 species